UACGUAGGGGGCAAGCGUUGUCCGGAAUCAUUGGGCGUAAAGAGCGUGUAGGCGGCUCGGUAAGUCCGCUGUGAAAGUCCAGGGCUCAACCCUGGAAUGCCGGUGGAAACUGUCGGGCUCGAGUCCGGAAGAGGCGAGUGGAAUUCCUGGUGUAGCGGUGAAAUGCGCAGAUAUCAGGAGGAACACCGAUGGCGAAGGCAGCUCGCUGGGACGGUACUGACGCUGAGACGCGAAAGCGUGGGGAGCAAACAGG
rnacentral:rRNA from 1 species